CCUACGGGUGGCAGCAGUGAGGAAUAUUGGUCAAUGGACGAGAGUCUGAACCAGCCAAGUAGCGUGAAGGAUGACUGCCCUAUGGGUUGUAAACUUCUUUUAUAAGGGAAUAAAACGUUCCACGUGUGGGUUUUUGUAUGUACUAUAUGAAUAAGGAUCGGCUAACUCCGUGCCAGCAGCCGCGGUAAUACGGAGGAUCCGAGCGUUAUCCGGAUUUAUUGGGUUUAAAGGGAGCGUAGGUGGGUUGUUAAGUCAGUUGUGAAAGUUUGCGGCUCAACCGUAAAAUUGCAAUUGAUACUGGCAGUCUUGAGUACAGUAGAGGUGAGCGGAAUUCGUGGUGUAGCGGUGAAAUGCUUAGAUAUCACGAAGAACCCCGAUUGCGAAGGCAGUUCACUAAACUGUGACUGACACUGAUGCUCGAAAGUGUGGGUAUCAAACAGGAUUAGAUACCCCUGUAGUC
rnacentral:rRNA from 1 species